rnacentral:lncRNA from 1 species
CGGCUGUGAACGGUCUUUCCCGUGACUGCGAUACACUGUCCAUAACCGAAGACACCGCACAGACACGUUCCACACCCUGGGGAAACCCGAUAAAGGUGCGUGGCCUGUGUCAAUGUCAGCAUCCUGCCUGCGAUGUUACAAACUGUCGUCACUGGAGGAAAAUGGGCAAAGACACACAGAACCUCUCUGUGUUAUUUCCUAAAACUGCAUGUGAGCCUAUAAUUAUCUCAAUAAAAAUUUCAAUUAAGAACAAAGCUAAACACACACCUGCCGUAAAAUCUGGCUGUUCCACCCUCUCGGUAUGUGUGCACCCAAGAAAAACGCAGAACCAUGUCUUUACGAUGCGUCUCGGGUCGGUGUUCAGAGCAGGAUCCUUUGUCAUCUUCCCCAACUGGAAACACCCCGGGUGCUCCUCCACGGGGAAUGGGGAACCGUGGGCAUCCGUGGGCUGGGGUACUAUUCGGCCACACGAUAGGAGGGAAGUCCUACCGGGGGCACCAUGGAAAGCGUUCAUGCCAGACUGCAGAAGCUGGAGGAAACAAGGCGUGGAUUCUGCUCACAAAACUCUAGGAAGCGCUAAGUGGUCGACAGCAAUGAAAGCAGGUCCAGCUGACCAAACUGCGCACUUCCAACGUGUCCAGUGCAUCGUGCCUAAUACAGCCGGGGAUCAAAGGAACACUGAAUGUGCACACGAAUGAGUGGAGGACAGCUCAGGCAUGGGAGCAUGCGUGUUCAAAUGGACAGGCAACGAAGAAGCAGAGGCGCCGUAGACCCUCAGGAGACCCCGGAAUGUGCACACUUGCGGCCGUGCCCAGGCCUGAGUCACCACGUCCCCAUCCCCGUUCUGUGUCGGGGAAAGGCAACUGCUUGGUGCUGCAGGGCAGGCCAGUCUCACUCCACUGAGGAUGACCCUGGAGAGACCGUCGCCAGCGAGAAUCAGGCUCCCACCCACAUCCAGGCUGGAGGCUGCUACUCAGCGAGAAGGGAGGAGGCCCACCGCGGCGCCAGCAGAGUGCACGCCCUGCUCUGUGCAGUCUCUCCCUGCGUUCGCCCAAAUCUUCAGGAAACCUACAAAAAUCAUGACAUAAUCAGCGGGGAGAUUGUUUGUGGAAAACAGCGGGGGGGAGUCAGUUUCAGCAUUAGGAUCAGCUUGGAGCAGAGACUGUCCUGUGGGAAUGAAGGGCACAGACAACAAGCAGGUGUGGAAGCAUUCUGUACAUUGUGAAGAGCUGUCCACUUGGUGGUCAUUCAUAACAGGGGCACUUGGGCCCUAGACACAGUCUUGGAGAGGGAGUGACGGGGCCACAAGCCUGAGUUAAUGGUUGAGGACCACAGGCAGCCCCCACAGAAGCCAAGACAGAGGAGACAACCAACAGAUGCUUGUGGCGUGAGGGGGAGAAGAAGAGGACCCCAAGCUCACGCGUGCCCACAAGCACACACACACGUGCGCACACACACACUCUUCAGCAGCUCUUGGAAUGGUAGAGGCAUGGGGGUUUCAGAGCCUGCAGCCCCUGGUGCCUGUAGGCCUGGGGUGGGAGGCCUGGUGCUUUCUCAGGGUAGGGCCCCUGGCUCGCAGGGGUGGCCCUAACCCACAGGACAGCUGCAGGCAGUCAGCUCCUGGCUCCCUGCCAGGGUUUGGAGGGGCUGAGUUUGGCCAUGGGUUGGGCCCAGAGGUUCUUUGCUGGCUAUAGGGUUGAGGGCUCUGGCCCUGUGGCUGAGCUGGUCACUUUGGGAACUGCAGCAGUUGUCCAGGGGAGGGGGGCAGUCAGGUCCUGCAGAGGUGGUGGACCCACAGGGCCUCGCAGCUGCUGGGAGCACAGAUGCCUCUGGGGCUCCUGGGAUGCUUCUGGCCUGGCUGUGCACACCCAGGGGUGCAGACAUGCAUCUGUGUUGGAGAAGGCAAGCAGGGCCCAGAGGCGCGAACUGGGUGCCCAAGCAGACCCAGGGAAGGGGCCGUGGGUGGGAAGGGGCCUGUGAUGCAGGCCCCACCAGCUCUGGAGGUACCCCCAGUGCUUAAAACAGUAACAACCAAGCUACCUGAGUCCCAGACUAACAGAGCUGCUCUCAUUUGUAUCGACCUCCGUCCGGCCCUUGUCCACAGAGAUGCAUUUUUCCCUCACUGCAAAUGUAAUAUGUAUGUCAUUUUGCGUAUGGGGGGGGGGGUUGUCCACUUAACAGUACAUAAUAAACAUUUCUCAUGUUUCCA